CCAAACUUGGUUUCGCAGCUGCAAAAAUUUUCACAGAAGAGUCAAUUGAGUUGCGAAAUGGUUUCGCAGCGAAGUGCUAGUUUCGUAGAGGAUUCUCUUAGGCUACGAAGUCUCACAAAGCCUUGUUUUUACCCUGUUUUUGCUCCGAUUUCGCUCCAAUAGACUUCCUUUCAAUUUCUUUGCAUUUUCUUCCACCUGAGAU
rnacentral:lncRNA from 1 species